rnacentral:rRNA from 1 species
GACGAACGCUGGCGGCGUGCUUAACACAUGCAAGUCGAACGGAAAGGCCCUGCUUUCGGGGUACUCGAGUGGGGAACGGGGGAGUAACACACGGGUGAACUGCCCUGCUCUUCGGGGUAAACCUGGGAGACAGGGGGUAAUACAGGAUAGAGGCCAUUUUGAGUGUGAUGGUUGGAAAGUUUUUUCGGUUUAGGGUGAGCGGGCGGGCUGUCAGCUUGUUGGUUGGGUGAUGGCCUACCAAGGCGGCGUCGGGUGGCCCGCCUGAGUGGGUGGACGGCCACAUUGGGGCCGAGGGAAGGCCCCGGCCCCCACGGGAGGGAAGAGGGGGGAAUAUUGGACAAUGGGCGCAAGCCUGAUGCAGCGACGCCGCGGGGCGGAUGACGGCCUUCGGGUUGUAAACCCCUUUCGCUAGGGACGAAGCUUUUUGUGACGGUACCUAGUGAAGAAGCACCGGCUAACUACGUG